CAGAUGAUAAUGCAGUUGAAAUUAUCCCAACCACUUGGUUGGAGGAAACAAUCAAAGGAACAUUCUGUUACUGGACCUACACAAACUCGAGGCAGUUGGUAAAAAACAAUGCAAUUCCCGACAAGCAAAAGUGGAGGCGGUUCUUGCUGAAAAAGAUUUGGUUAAGAACAGACUCUUAUGCCAGAGCCUCCCAGAAAUACCAGCUUGUUACUGAAACAUCACAUAUUGAAACGGCAACGGAGGACACAACAAGUAAAAAGAGGCCACAUAAAAUUCCAAAGAGAUUUCAGUCUGAAACAGACAUUUCGU